rnacentral:rRNA from 1 species
AUCAACGCUGGGCGGCGUGCCUAACACAUGCAAGGUCGUACGAGAAAGCGGGGGGCAACUCCGCGAGUACAAGUGGCGUACGGGUGAGUAACACGUGACUAACCUACCUUCGAGUGGGGGAUAACCUCGGGAAACCGGGGCUAAUACCGCAUAAACAUCGCAAGAUCAAAGCAGCAAUGCGCUUGAAGAGGGGGGUCGCGGCUGAUUAGCUAGUUGGUGGGGUAAUGGCCCACCAAGGGCAGUGAUCAGUAGCCGGCCUGAGAGGGCCGCACGGCCACACUGGAAACUGAACACACGGUCCAGACUCCUACGGGAGGGCCAGCAGUGGGGAAUUUUGCGCAAUGGGGGGAAAACCCUGACGCAGCAACGCCGCGUGGAGGAUGAAGGUCUUUGGAUUGUAAACUCCUUUCGACCGGGACGAUAAUGACGGUACCGGGGGAAGAAAGCACCGGCUAACUCUGUGCCAGCAGCCGCGGUAAUACAGAGGGUGCAAGCGUUGUUCGGAAUUAUUGGGCGUAAAGGGGCGCGUAGGCGGUGCGGUAAGUCUGUUUGUGAAAUCUCUUGGGCUCAACUCAGAGUCUGCAACGGAAAACUGCCGUGCUUGAGUAUGGGAGAGGUGAGUGGAAUUCCCGGUGUAGCGGUGAAAUGCGUAGAUAUCGGGGAGGAACACCUGUGGCGAAAGCGGCUCACUGGACCAUAACUGACGCUGAGGCGCGAAAGCUAGGGGAGCAAACAGGAUUAGAUACCCUGGUAGUCCUAGCCCUAAACUAUGAUUGCUUGGUGUGGACAGGUACCCAAUUCCUGUCGUGCCGCAGCUAAACGCGAUAAGCAAUCCGCCUGGGGAGUACGGUCGCAAGGGCUGAAACUCAAAGGAAUUGACCGGGGGCCCGCACAAGCGGUGGAGCAUGUGGUUCAAUUCGACGCAACGCGAAGAACCUUACCUGGGCUCGAAGCGCAGUGGGACCGGGGUAGAAAUAUCCCUUUUCUCGCAAGAGACUGCUGCGUAGGGUGCUGCAUGGCUGUCGUCAGCUCGUUGUCGUGAGAUGUUGGGUUAAGUCCCGCAACGAGCGGCAACCCUUAUUGCCAGUUGCCAUCAUUAAGUUGGGCACUCUGGCGAAACCGCCCCGGGAUAACGGGGAGGAAGGUGGGGAUGACGUCAAGUCCUCAUGGCCUUUAUGUCCAGGGGCUACACACGUGCUACAAUGGUCGGUACAAAACCGUCGCAAAACCCGCGAGGGGGAGCUAAUCGGACAAAGCCGACCUCAGUUCGGAUUGGAGUCUGCAACUCGACUCCAUGAAGCUGGAAUCGCUAGUAAUCGCAGAACAGCACGCCUGCGGUGAAUACGUUCCCGGGGCCCUUGUACACCACCGCCCGUCACAUCACGAAAGUGGGUUGUACUAGAAGUCGGUGGGCUAACCGCAAGGGAGCAGCCGCCCCAAGGUAUAACUCAUGAUUGGGGUG